rnacentral:rRNA from 1 species
GCGAUCAUACCAGCACUAAUGCACCGGAUCCCAUCAGAACUCUGUAGUUAAGCGUGCUUGGGCGAGAGUAGUACUAUGAUGGGUGACCUCCUGGGAAGUCCUCGUGUUGCACCUC